GACGAACGCUGGCGGCGUGCUUAACACAUGCAAGUCGUGCGGUAAGGCCCUUUCGGGGGUACACGAGCGGCGAACGGGUGAGUAACACGUGCGCAACCUGCCCUUCACUUUGGGAUAACUGCCGGAAACGGUGGCUAAUACCGGACAUGACUUCCUCACGCAUGUGGGGUGGUGGAAAGCCUUGGGGUGGUGGGGGAUGGGCUCGCGGGCUAUCAGCUUGUUGGUGGGGUGAUGGCCUACCAAGGCUUUGACGGGUAGCCGGCCUGAGAGGGUGACCGGCCACAUUGGGACUGAGAUACGGCCCAGACUCCUACGGGAGGCAGCAGUGGGGAAUAUUGGACAAUGGGCGGAAGCCUGAUCCAGCAACGCCGCGUGAGGGAUGACGGCCUUCGGGUUGUAAACCGCUUUCGCCUGCGACGAAGCGAGAGUGACGGUAGCAGGUAAAGAAGCACCGGCCAACUACGUG
rnacentral:rRNA from 1 species